CCCGUUGAAUCUAAAUAUCCGAUAGAUGAAAUUCAGUACUGUACGUCAAAAAUACAGUAUGCACUUUUCAUCUAGUAGGACACUGCAAUCCGUUAGAUUAAAUAUAAUCAUUAUGUAUUGUAUUUGAACCUAUCAAUGGAGUUCGUAUAGAUUGUUUAUCUGAUAUGGUACUAAACAUACCAUUCGAUAAGUCUAUGUUGAAUUUCGAUAGUGUUUGACUGACGGAUUUAAAACAAUCAUAAGCAUACAUAUGCGAUUCACUUGUGAAUUAUUAUAUGUAUUUGAUUGGCAGUGCACCUGAAGAUUUAGAUACCUUCGGGGCCCGUCUUGAAACACGGACCAAGGAGUCUAA
rnacentral:rRNA from 1 species